rnacentral:rRNA from 1 species
GUGGGGAAUCUUGCGCAAUGGGCGAAAGCCUGACGCAGCCAUGCCGCGUGAAUGAUGAAGGUCUUAGGAUUGUAAAAUUCUUUCACUGGGGACGAUAAUGACGGUACCCGGAGAAGAAGCCCCGGCUAACUUCGUGCCAGCAGCCGCGGUAAUACGAAGGGGGCUAGCGUUGCUCGGAAUUACUGGGCGUAAAGGGCGCGUAGGCGGACAGUUUAGUCAGAGGUGAAAGCCCAGGGCUCAACCUUGGAAUUGCCUUUGAUACUGGCUGUCUUGAGUACGGGAGAGGUGAGUGGAACUCCGAGUGUAGAGGUGAAAUUCGUAGAUAUUCGGAAGAACACCAGUGGCGAAGGCGACUCACUGGCCCGUUACUGACGCUGAGGCGCGAAAGCGUGGGGAGCAAACAGGAUUAGAAACCCCGGUAGUCC